rnacentral:lncRNA from 1 species
ACCGCUAUUUAAUUUUUAAAAUUUAAAUUUAAAAAUUUAGAUUUAAAUUUUGAAUUUUAAAAAUUUAUAAUUUGUAAUUGUAAAAUAAAAAUUUAUAAUUUUAAAUUGAUAUUUUAAAUUUUUUUAAUUUAUAAUUUGAUGUUUGAUAUUUUUAAAUUUAGAUUUAAUCUUAAAUUUAAAAUUUAAAAUUUAAAAUUUAAAAUUUAGAACUUUGAAUCUUUAAAUUUGAGAUUUAAAAUUUAAAUUUAAAGUUUGAAUUUUUAAAAUUUAAAAGCUA